rnacentral:rRNA from 1 species
GCAGUCGAGCGAACGGACGAGAAGCUUGCUUCUCUGAUGUUAGCGGCGGACGGGUGAGUAACACGUGGAUAACCUACCUAUAAGACUGGGAUAACUUCGGGAAACCGGAGCUAAUACCGGAUAAUAUUUUGAACCGCAUGGUUCAAAAGUGAAAGACGGUCUUGCUGUCACUUAUAGAUGGAUCCGCGCUGCAUUAGCUAGUUGGUAAGGUAACGGCUUACCAAGGCAACGAUGCAUAGCCGACCUGAGAGGGUGAUCGGCCACACUGGAACUGAGACACGGUCCAGACUCCUACGGGAGGCAGCAGUAGGGAAUCUUCCGCAAUGGGCGAAAGCCUGACGGAGCAACGCCGCGUGAGUGAUGAAGGUCUUCGGAUCGUAAAACUCUGUUAUUAGGGAAGAACAUAUGUGUAAGUAACUGUGCACAUCUUGACGGUACCUAAUCAGAAAGCCACGGCUAACUACGUGCCAGCAGCCGCGGUAAUACGUAGGUGGCAAGCGUUAUCCGGAAUUAUUGGGCGUAAAGCGCGCGUAGGCGGUUUUUUAAGUCUGAUGUGAAAGCCCACGGCUCAACCGUGGAGGGUCAUUGGAAACUGGAAAACUUGAGUGCAGAAGAGGAAAGUGGAAUUCCAUGUGUAGCGGUGAAAUGCGCAGAGAUAUGGAGGAACACCAGUGGCGAAGGCGACUUUCUGGUCUGUAACUGACGCUGAUGUGCGAAAGCGUGGGGAUCAAACAGGAUUAGAUACCCUGGUAGUCCACGCCGUAAACGAUGAGUGCUAAGUGUUAGGGGGUUUCCGCCCCUUAGUGCUGCAGCUAACGCAUUAAGCACUCCGCCUGGGGAGUACGACCGCAAGGUUGAAACUCAAAGGAAUUGACGGGGACCCGCACAAGCGGUGGAGCAUGUGGUUUAAUUCGAAGCAACGCGAAGAACCUUACCAAAUCUUGACAUCCUUUGACAACUCUAGAGAUAGAGCUUUCCCCUUCGGGGGACAAAGUGACAGGUGGUGCAUGGUUGUCGUCAGCUCGUGUCGUGAGAUGUUGGGUUAAGUCCCGCAACGAGCGCAACCCUUAAGCUUAGUUGCCAUCAUUAAGUUGGGCACUCUAAGUUGACUGCCGGUGACAAACCGGAGGAAGGUGGGGAUGACGUCAAAUCAUCAUGCCCCUUAUGAUUUGGGCUACACACGUGCUACAAUGGACAAUACAAAGGGCAGCGAAACCGCGAGGUCAAGCAAAUCCCAUAAAGUUGUUCUCAGUUCGGAUUGUAGUCUGCAACUCGACUACAUGAAGCUGGAAUCGCUAGUAAUCGUAGAUCAGCAUGCUACGGUGAAUACGUUCCCGGGUCUUGUACACACCGCCCGUCACACCACGAGAGUUUGUAACACCCGAAGCCGGUGGAGUAA